GCGGGUUUCUGGCAUUUUUGUCGGCGAGGACGAUUGCAGAGAGAACAGCCAGAGAAAAACAAGAUAGCAAAUAGACUACCAACCCUCUUGUGGCCAUAGGCAGCGGCUUAGACGAGUAAUUACUGUUUUAUGUAGCAAAAACNACAAGAAACAAGAAGAAGAAUAUACAAAGCGCUCUCCCUCCCUUUCUUUUUCUCCUCCCUC
rnacentral:misc_RNA from 1 species